AUUGAACGCUGGCGGCAGGCCUAACACAUGCAAGUCGAGAGGAGCGGCGGACGGGUGAGUAAUGCCUAGGAAUCUGCCUGGUAGUGGGGGAUAACGUCCGGAAACGGGCGCUAAUACCGCAUACUAUCAGAUGAGCCUAGGUCGGAUUAGCUAGUUGGGGGGGUAAAGGCCUACCAAGGCGACGAUCCGUAACUGGUCUGAGAGGAUGAUCAGUCACACUGGAACGGAGCGACGUUCCAGUCUCCUAGGUGAGGCAGCAGUGGGGAAUGUUAGAGAAUGGGCGAAAGGCUGGUCCAGCCAUGCCGCGUGUGUGAAAAAGGUCUUCGGAUUUGAGUGCACUUUAAGUUGGGAGGCGUUACCAACAGAAUAAGUACCGGCUAACUUCGUGCCAGCAGCCGCGGUAAUAC
rnacentral:rRNA from 1 species